rnacentral:rRNA from 1 species
GCAGCGGAGAGGUCAGUAACACGUGGCCUAACUACCGUGUGGGUGGGAACUAUCUCGGGAAACUGAGGCUAAUUCCCAAUAACGCUCCGCCCCUGGAACGGGCGGAGCUGGAAACGCUACGGCGCCACAGGAUGUGGCUGCGGUCGAUUAGGUAGACGGUGGGGUAACGGCCCACCGUGCCAAUAAUCGGUACGGGUUGUGAGAGCAAGAGCCCGGAGACGGAAUCUGAAACAAGAUUCCGGGCCCUACGGGGCGCAGCAGGCGCGAAACCUUUACACUGUACGCAAGUGCGAUAAGGGGACUCCGAGUGUGAAGGCAUAGAGCCUUCACUUUUGUACGCCGUAAGGUGGUGUACCAAUAAAGGCUGGGAAAGACCGGUGCCACCCCCCCCGGUAAUACCGGCGGCAAGAGUGAUGGCCGAUAUUAUUGGGCCUAAAGCGACCUUGGCUGGUCGGACGAGUUCAUUGGGAAAUCUGUUCGCGUACCUAGCGUGCGUCCGCUGCAAACUGUUCUGCUUGGGACCGGAAGACCUGAGCGGGUAGUCCUAGCUGUAAACGAUGCCCGCUAGGUGUGGCGCAGGCUACGAGCCUGCGCUGUGCCGUAGGGAAGCCGAGAAGCGGGCCGCCUGGGAAGUACCGUCUGCAAGGAUGAAACUUAAAGGAAUUGGCGGGGGAGCACUACAACCGGAGGAGCCUGCGGUUUAAUUGGACUCAACGCCGGACAUCUCACCAGCUCCGACAGUAGUAAUGACGGUCAGGUUGAUGACUUUACCCGAUGCUACUGAGAGGAGGUGCAUGGCCGCCGUCAGCUCGUACCGUGAGGCGUCCUGUUAAGUCAGGCAACGAGCGAGACCCGCACUCCUAAUUGCCAGCAGUACCCUUUGGGUAGCUGGGUACAUUAGGUGGACUGCCGCUGCCAAAGCGGAGGAAGGAACGGGCAACGGUAGGUCAGUAUGCCCCGAAUGAGCUGGGCAACACGCGGGCUACAAUGGUCGAGACAAUGGGAUGCAACUCCGAGAGGAGGCGCUAAUCUCCUAAACUCGAUCGUAGUUCGGAUUGAGGGCUGAAACUCGCCCUCAUGAAGCUGGAUUCGGUAGUAAUCGCGUGUCAGAAGCGCGCGGUGAAUACGUCCCUGCUCCUUGCACACACCGCCCGUCAAAGCACCCGAGUGGGGUUCGGAUGAGGCCGGC